rnacentral:rRNA from 1 species
AUUGAACGCUGGCGGCAGGCUUAACACAUGCAAGUCGAACGAGUGGCGGACGGGUGAGUAAUGCUUGGGAAUCUAGCUUAUGGAAGGGGAUAACUACGGGAAACUGUAGCUAAUACCGCGUACCAUAGGAUGAGCCCAAGUGGGAUUAGGUAGUUGGUGAGGUAAAGGCUCACCAAGCCGACGAUCGCUAGCUGGUCUGAGAGGAUGACCAGCCACACUGGGACUGAGACACGGCCCAGACUCCUACGGAGGGCGUCAGUGGGAAGUAUUGCACAAUGAGCGAAUGCCUGAUGCAGCCAUGCCGCGUGUAUGAGGAAGGCCUUCGAGUUGUAAAGUACUUUCAGUCGGGAGACGUUACCGACAGAAGAAGCACCGGCUAACUCCGUGCCAGCCGCCGCGGUAAUAC